CCUACGGGAGGCAGCAGUGGGGAAUAUUGCACAAUGGGGGAAACCCUGAUGCAGCGACGCCGCGUGAGUGAAGAAGUAUCUCGGUAUGUAAAGCUCUAUCAGCAGGGAAGAUAAUGACGGCACCUGACUAAGAAGCCCCGGCUAACUACGUGCCAGCAGCCGCGGUAAUACGGAGGGUGCCAGCGUUAUCCGGAUUUACUGGGUGUAAAGGGAGCGUAGGUGGCAUGUGAAGUCAGAUGUGAAAACCCGGGGCUCAACCCCAAGAGUGCAUUUGAAACUGUCAAGCUGGAGUGCAGGAGAGGUAAGCGGAAUUCGUAGUGUAGCGGUGAAAUGCAUAGAUAUCAGGAGGAACACCAGUGGCGAAGGCGGCUUACUGGACUGUAACUGACACUGAGGCUCGAAAGCGUGGGGAGCAAACAGGAUUAGAUACCCGAGUAGUC
rnacentral:rRNA from 1 species